rnacentral:rRNA from 1 species
UACGUAGGGUGCGAGCGUUAAUCGGAAUUACUGGGCGUAAAGUGUGCGCAGGCGGCCGCGCAAGUCGAGUGUGAAAGCCCCGGGCUUAACUUGGGAAUUGCGCUCGAAACUACGUGGCUGGAGUGUGGCAGAGGAAGGUGGAAUUCCACGUGUAGCAGUGAAAUGCGUAGAGAUGUGGAGGAACACCGAUGGCGAAGGCAGCCUCCUGGGCCAGCACUGACGCUCAUGCACGAAAGCGUGGGGAGCAAACAGG